CAUGGCUCUACGGCUAGCAAGAAUUGCUCCAAAUGUGCAGAAGCAACAAAAUGUCCCAAGAGUUGACGAGGGGAAUCACAAAAUCGUAGUAUAAUUAAGGUUACAAAAGACCUCUCAGAUCAUCUAGUCCAACCAUCAAUCCAUCACCACCAUGCCUACUAAUCUAUGCCACGUCUACCCUUUCCUUGAAAGCCUCCAGAGAGGACAAUGGGACCUUCGUGCUCUGGUGUGCUUGGUGGCUCCUUGUCCACUGUGCCCUAGGGAAAAGCCUGGGAGAGAACAGAUGCUUUCUGAUGAGCUGUAAGCAUGCACAAAGGGCGUCCAGGAAAAAGUCUCUCCAAAAGGAAAACCUGGAAUAGAACAGAAAAGGGAAGUGGCUGGGGGUCUGGGGAAGCAGGGAGGAAGGGAGGCACCAGCACAGCCAGAUGUUCGUGUAGCUGUCCCUGGUGUCAGGGAGCAGUGUGGCUGGGGCUCAUGCUGGUGUCCCUGCAGCUGCACCCACAGUUGGGUGCGGAGCACGGAAUUCCUCACGGACACAGGCGAGGCAGCAAAAAUAACCCCUGAGAGAAUGGACCGUGUCCUGACCAUUGUUUUAACACUUAGAAACAGCAAGUCGGUAUGAGGGGAAAAUGAGUCAAGGGAAGCACUAUGGUGUAUGACAAAUGGAAAAUAUCCUGCAGGGCAUCUCCAGCACGUGUGAAGUGUUGCUGUUGGCCAUCUCCCUGUGGGCUCUGUGUCACAGUGCCUGGCACAACACCAGCACCUGGUACAAUACCACCACCUGGCACAACACCACCACCAACUGGCACAACCCCAGCACCUGGCACAGCACCAAUAUCCGGCACAACACCACCACCUGGCACUGCACCAACAUCUGGUAGAACAUGAUCACCUGGCACGACACCAUCUGGUACAACACCAGCAUCUGGUACAAUACCAACACCUGGUACAAAAACAACACCUGGCACAAUACCAGCACCUGGCACAACAUCAACACCUGGUACUACACCAGCACCUGGUACAACACCAACAGCUGGUACAACACCAGCACCUGGCACAAACAGCAGCAAUUGGCAGGGUGAGGUCCUCAGCUGGGCCACGGUUGUGGCAGUCAUUGGACAUCAGAGCAAACUCAAAACUUAGAAAAUGAAAAGCAUCACAACUCGAUCUGGAAAGGAGAGGACAGAUUUAGACUUUCUUGGAAUGGCACUUCUCAUUGAUGGGAUGCAACCUCCCCUGCCUGCUAUCUGCUGAGAAAGUGAGCUUAAUGCUAACCUCAGCCCGGGUCCUUAUCUGGCUGAUGCUGGGCGUUCACUCCCUCGCAGCGAUAGCAGUCCUGGCACUGCUCCUCCCUCUCCCCUCCAAGUCUGUAGGGACUGCGCAGAGCUGCACAGCCUCAUUUGCACUGACGUGAAGGAGGCUGGAAAGCCUCGCAGGACAGAUAGGGAGGGUGGGGUGGCAGAAAGACAUCCCUGAGUUAUCCCAUGCACUGUGACGAGCCCCAUCACCAUCCUGUGGGAGGCCGCUCCAACAGCCUGCAAGCAGAGAAGAAAGAACAGUCAGUGUCCACAUGCUGAGAGAAGUGGCCCAGCUAAAGAGGUAUGGAGCUUGAGCAGUUUAAAUAAAAUACAAUAUAUAUAUAUUAAAGAUCUCAACACAGGGAUGAUAUCAGGUGGAAGGUUUUCACUGAGAGGGCAGCGAGGCCCCAGCACUGCUGCCCACAGAAGAUGUGGAUGCCCAUCCCUGGAGGCACUCGAGGCCAGGCUGGAUGGGGCCCUGGGCAGCCUGAGCGGGGUGCCUGAUCUAGCAGUUGACAACCCUGCUCACAGCAGGGGGGUUGGAACGAGACAGACUCUGUGGUCCCUUUCACCUCAAGCCAUUCUAUGAAAAUUUUCAGAAAAUCACGAGUAAACCAGCCUGAAAGGGAACUUGGACCCUUCUGGCUUCAACCCUUUGAGAGAAUCUUUUCUGCGGAGGGACCCGCUGGGAGAGGCACCCUGAGGCACAGCACUCAGCACCCAGCCCUGAAGCUCAUCCUUGGCUGUUCCCUUGUGAUGGAGAAGGGCUGAUGGUGGCAGAAGCCUGCUCCUCUGCGGAACACAGCCCUGAGCUGCACAGCAAGAUUACUUUCUGGAAGAUUUUGCUGUGUGUCAAGUGAACAGGAGCAUAAAAAUACUUUCUAACCACUAAUGAGAAACCCAGCAAUCCCUGUAGUCAAUGAACCACAGAGGUCAGAGAUAAGAAAGAUCAGUGAAAUUAGGUCAGUUGGAGCAUCCCUGUACCGGUGCCAGAAAACCUUAAAGGGCUGCUUGUAAAGCAGGCAUGCACAUUUCAAAGAGCACAGAGGUUGUAAGGUGCCUGAGAGGCCCCUCCAGCAAAGGCAACCCAAAGGCACAGACAGCCCCAGGUGCAGAACAGCCCAAGCAGCUGCGAGCUGGAGCUGCCAGCCCCCCACCUCCUGCCUGCUGUGCUGCAGCCAGGAUGAGACCCCAUUUCCAGACUUUGUCUUGGUUUGUAGGAAAUGAGGUCUCAGCUGCUCUGAGAAGUGACAAGGGAAGGAAAGGCCUGUGUACAGCAUCGUAGUGCUGCUACUCUGCUUUCCAGCUUCCUUGCAACUGUCUGCAAGAGGGGGAAUGGAUGUCUCUGGGGAGCAAUGAAGCUAUUCACUGCCUCUUCCUAUUUACCAUGUGGUCCUCUGCUCCUCAGCCCUAAAAUCAUUCUUAGCCACGGCCCUGGCCUGGGAGAUGCUGAGGCUGAGGCUGACCUGUGUCCCUUCAGCUGACAUCACUUCAGACCUCUCCCUGCAGCACUACUGGAUCAGCACACCUGGAGCCAGGCCGUGCAGAUGGGGCACAGCAGGCCCUUGCUGGCAGGCUGCGUUUUGGAGCUUUUCCUCCUGUUCUCCCUCCCUUCUCCCUCCUUUCUUCCCAUGUCUCCAUCUGCUGGAGGACCUCGGAGCAGCGAUGCCCGGGCUGCGUCACCCCGCCACACGCAGUCAGGUGCUUCUGCUGGCUGCAGUCCUACUGUCUGCACAACAAAAGUUGUUGCUGGACUCAAGUUUGCUGAUGUUUCCUACUCCUAUGGGGGUAGAGAUGUCAGUCCCAUUUAAGUCUGGUGCUCAGAGGGGUAAAAUGCAUUUUUAUUUUUUGUUACAAAAGAGCUCAAAGUAAAACAAAUAAAUGAAACGUGAUGGAAAGGGA
ensembl:lncRNA